rnacentral:lncRNA from 10 species
CCAUAUCCUGCCUUUUGAGGCCAAACUACUGUACAAGCCCCAGGUGGAAGCUCAGAUAUGGUUGGGACCCAUAUUCUUUUCUUACGAAUAAAUGUUGCUGGUAGCUCAUCCUGUGACCUCCUGCAUGGCUAUCCUGAUGCACUGUCAAAUCCAAGAUGAACCAUACAGGAUGAUUGAGGAAGGUGGCAAGGACAGACCCAUUGUAAGCUACAGUAUACCAAGGAGAGAUGAAUGGAUCUUAAGCAGCCACGUUAUAUAUACACAUUACAGCAAUGUCCUCAUCAGCCGUGGCUCAUUGGAUUGUAAGCACGCAUCUGACUCAAGGUAUUCUGAUACUAGAAGAUGGCCCCAGGAUGGAAGACAUGAGCAUCCCAAUGACAGAAAAGGAAAAUGUUCUUUUGCAAAUUAAUAUGUGGCUGGUCUAGUUUGUAUCCUUUAGUGUGUGUGAGUGUCAUAGAUGAAAGUCUAUCUGACUAGGACCAAGUCUAGAACACUGACAAACACUGGGAGACAAGAUUUUUAGGGUGAAACCAAAGAAAAGCCCUUCUGAACAAUGUGCUUGUAGAAGACUUGUAACCUUGUGUGGUAUAAUUAAGAUAUAUACAUAUAGUCAUGUACCAUAUAACAUUUAACAAUGGACUGCCUAUGUGAAAGGGGUCCCAUAAAAUUAUCAUGGAGUUGAAAAAUUCCUGUAGCCUAGUAUUUACUAAGGGGUAUGAUAUGGUUUGGCCCUGUGUCUCCAUUCAAAUCUCACCUUGAAUUGUAAUCUCUAUAAUCCCCAGGUGUCAUGGGUAAGACCAGGUGGAGGUAACUGGAUCAUGGUGGUGGUUUCCCCCAUGCUGUUCUCCUGAUACUGAGUGAGUUCUCAUGAGAUCUGAUGGUUUUAUAAGCAUCUGGCAUUUCCCCUGCUUGCACUCACUCCAUCCCGCUGCCCUGUGAAGAAGGUGCCUGCUUCUUCUUUGCCUUCUGUCAUGAUUGUAAGUUUCCUGAGGCCUCCCCAGCAAUGUGGAACUGUGACUCAAUUAAACCUCUUUCCUUUAUAAAUUACCCAGUCUCAGGUAAUUUUUCACAGCAGCAUGAGAAUGGACUAAUACAGGAUACUUCAGAAAGUUUGUGGAAAAAUAG